rnacentral:rRNA from 1 species
UACAGAGGUCUCAAGCGUUGUUCGGAUUCCUUGGGCGUAAAGGGUGCGUAGGCGGCGCGGUAAGUCGGGUGUGAAAUCUCGGAGCUUAACUCCGAAACUGCAUUCGAUACUGCCGUGCUUGAGGACUGGAGAGGAGACUGGAAUUUACAGUGUAGCGGUGAAAUGCGUAGAUAUCGUAAGGAAGACCAGUGGCGAAGGCGGGUCUCUGGACAGUUCCUGACGCUGAGGCACGAAGGUCAGGGGAGCAAACGGG